GUUCUGCAGAACGAUAAAUAUUUUGUAAAUGUGUGCUCUGUCCGCUAGCGAAUUCCAGCCAUGUGUGAAAUAUCGUAUGUGAAGCCUCCGUCUGACUGAACGAUUGUCAAAGGCAUGCCAGAAGAUGUUUCAUCAUAUGUUUUCGGCUAUCGUCUUCUUCGAUUGCAUUCACACGUGAUAUAAUAACUAGUGUCGGCAAGCUGUGGGAAUGCCCAGGAGAUGGCGUUUGUAAAGCUGUCGAAAUCAUUACACCGACGGCGGUGGGCAGUACUGGUGGAACAUAUUUACCACAGCCGUGGUUGCGGCGUUUUGUUCUGCAACAAUAGCCUGCAAUGAUGACAUGUCAUAUAAUGUCGACGAACAAAGAUAUAAAAUUGAAAAUGACUAACCUUUUUCCCGGCCGAUUUGGAAGACCACCCUUGGUCACGACCAGAACGCAUUUACCAAGAGGAAAAACCGCAGGAAUUGCAGUAGUUCCUGCAAUUACCGUUGAUGAUGCUGUGCUGGUAAUUAAUAGUCUGAAAAGACAGAAAAUUGCAUUAAUCAAAUGUUAUACACAUCAAAUAAAUAAAUUUCAAUAAUUUGUUUACCAUUUAACAAACCGAA